CCCUUAGAUGUCCGGGGCCGCACGCGCGCUACAAUGGAUGAAUCAACGCGUCAUCCUGGCCCGAAAGGGUUGGGGAACCGCUGAACCUCAUCCGUGGUUGGGAUUGGGGUUUGUAAUUACUCCCCAUGAACUAGGAAUUCCCAGUAAGCGCGAGUCAUAAGCUCGCGUUGAUUACGUCCCUGCCCUUUGUACACACCGCCCGUCGCUACUACCGAUUGGAUGGUUUAGUGAGAUCCUCGGAUUGGUCACGGCACGGUGGCAACACUGCGUCGGUGUGCCGAGAAGACGAUCAAACUUGAUCAUCUAGAGGAAGUAAAAGUCGUAACA
rnacentral:rRNA from 1 species